CAGCACCUCAAGUGGUCAGGAUGAUUAUUGGGCCUAAAGCAUCCGUAGCCAGCUCUGUAGGUUUUCGGUUAAAUCUGUACGCUCAACGUACAGGCUGCCGGGAAUACUGCAGAGCUAGGGAGUGGGAGAGGUAGACGGUACUCGGUAGGAAGGGGUAAAAUCCUUUGAUCUAUUGAUGACCACCUGUGGCGAAGGCGGUCUACCAGAACACGUCCGACGGUGAGGGAUGAAAGCUGGGGGAGCAAACCGGAUUAGAUACCCGAGUAGUCC
rnacentral:rRNA from 1 species